UAUUUUAUUUACAAUUUGCCUUUUGCCGUAGGUAUUUUACAAUAUAUGUAUGUACAUAUUUUAUUCAAUUAUCUAUUGUCAAUGUGACAACAAUGAAUGUGUUAAAACUUAAUAAAAAGAAGUAGAAAAUAUUGCAAAGACCAAACUGAUGAUGGAGUUUAGAUAAUUUGAAGUUAGUUAAGGUUGCAUGCAAGUAACCGACAUAUUUACAGCCGUUUUCACUAGCUCCAGUUAAGCACUGAACAUAAUACGCACGCCAAUUACGUUGUUCGUUCUCUUUAUCGAAUUACUUAAUUCGCCAUACAAAUAUUUGACAGCGAAUUACGCCAAAAGUGCGUAGUUCAUUCUCAAUUAUCAUGCGAAUUACGAUGAAAUCGUUUUCUUGCCUAAUUUUUAAAAGGAAUUUAUGGAACACAGCUAGCAAAUCAAAAAAAAAAAAAAAAUGAAAACCAGAAACGAAAACAACUAAAACAGCUGCGGAUAAACUGCUCAAGAAUUUACAAGUGGUAAGACAUACCUAAAAUCCAUCAUCUUUAUGCCGAAGGACUGUCUCAUUCACGCAAUAUGUUCCGAAAAACAAUUCGGGGAAUAUUUUGCGGUUAAAACAAAAACAACUAUAACAGAGAAAUUUAUUUGCAGCCAAACACAAACUGUAUAUUAAAAACGUAAAAUUUUUCAAAGAAAAAUUAAUCUCAGCUGUCCAGGCGGUUAUUAAACUUGUUGAAAUUAUAAGCAGAGAAAUGUAGUAUAAUUUUAAUUGAAUGUGUUGAUUUAAUGCAUUUUUUUGUCGGAUUCAAUUCAAUGUUUUUUUUCACUUUUACUAAAAACUUUAAUUUUCUCUACGUUUUCAAAUGCAACAAACCAGCGAACAGUAAACUGUGAAAUUGCGUGCCGUGUGAAUGGAGUAAUUCGCGUUCGUAAUUGAAAGAACGAACAAUGUAAUUCACGUUGACGAACAUAAUCGGAAGGUAGCACACAUAAAAUUCGUUUUCACAGUGUCCAGUUAAGGCGCAUCGGCAAAUUGAGUUGUGAUUAACUUAGCGCCAACAUUGAGUGGUGGAUUAGCUCUUCACCACUAGAUAAUUUGACAGUUGCAAAUGGUAAAAUAAUAAAUAAAAUUAUAUUUAAUCAUGGAAAAUAUGGAACGCACUGCUUAUCGGACAAAUGAGUAAAUUUUUUUAAGAAAUUGAGAAUUCGUCUUUUCAGAGUUUGACUAAAAUAAGUUUUGAAAAAAAAUGAAAAGCCACACUUAAAGGAAAGGUGCUUUGGAGUAUGAAACGAUCUUUUCCAUUGCCUAUCCAUUGGAUUGAGAGUUUUACUCAGCACUAUGCAGUGUUGCACAAUAUCGCUAUCGAGAACAGAGACUCUAAUCUGGAUGAUAUAAAUAUGGUUAUAUAACAUAUGUAUAUUCUAUACAUGUAAUUUGAAAUCAUCGAAGUCUUUUUGUCUAAAUAAAAAUAAAUAAAAUGAAUUUCAUUAAAUUACAAUUUUGUUUUCGUUUAUUAACCAAAAAAGGAAGUGAAAAUAAAAAAUAAAACAGAAGAACUUUAAACUCACUUAACCAAAUUAUUUGGAAAUAAAACUAGCUGUCAUGCCAAAAUGAUUAAACUAACCAUAAGAUAGAUAACCAUAGCAAAGUGACAAGAGUUUCAAAUCGGCCUAUCAGGGGGUUAGCUAUCAUUCGAUUGAAGACUAAGUUAAUCGGACAAUGUGAAACCGGUCAUUAGACCACCAAUUAUCAUAGAGAUGGUAGUUGAAAAGACUUAUACUAGCAUUUUCCUUACAGUUUUCUUACUUCUUCUGUUAACUCUCUCAAACCAGAGAACGGAGAGAAAGACCGGGGCGUGCCGAUUGCCAUUUGUUCCAACCAUGGGAUUGCUAAGAGACUAUUUCACCGUUAGUUAACAGCGAACUACCAGAGACUGACAAAUUAUUUACAGAAGAAUGAUAUUUGAGAGACAAUUACUUUACUAAUUUAUUAUAAUCUUGCUCAGAAAUGUAGACAAAUAGAGUCAGUUUCAGGCGGCAGUUUCUUUCGUCGACGCUGGCAGUUCACAUGCUAUUCGCACUCGGUCCUUUUCGUAAUUUUACAUUCUCUUCUUAAAUGGUAUGCUUUUGAAAAGAUAAAAUAAAAAAAAAACAGUUGAACCCAAAAACAACAAAAAAUAAAAAUAAAAACGUAUUUUCAAGUUACUUGCAAAACCAAAAAAAAAUCCACACGGUCAGGCAAGUCUGUGACUGCUCAAAAAUUCGAACCGCGAACAUUCCAUUUUUGGAUCGGCUGGAACAUUCCGGAACUGUUUUUUAAGCACAAGAAAUAACUCAUAAAGUGUUGUUUUCUGCCUUUUCAGGACCAUGUCUAAGCGUGAGCUUGAGCUUGAGGAAAGGUUUGAAGAAGCCUCUGUGCGCCAUAUUGCUGAGAGAAACUUAAGAAAAUUUCCUUUAUUUACGUUUGGAACAACUGUUUUACGUUGCUCCUUGCUUCCUCUUCGCAGCACAGUCACCUUUUAUAUAAUAUUAAAUAACAUUUAAUAGGAGGUCCAUUAAAUUCAAACGAAUUUAUCAUAUCGUGAAAUUUAACUGCUGGUUUCGGGCUCCUCACUUCAACAGGCACUCGAAACAAAAAAAUAUGCCAGAAAGCAAAAAGUCAAAUAGCAGGAAUCAAUAAGCAAGCGCCCAAAAUUAGGCCAUAAUUUAUGCUCCGCGUCUAAACAAUGUCAUAUCAGCUGUUUUUUUUUAUUUACGUAUCAAAAUUUAGUUACCCAAAUCUGACACAAAAAUGUUAAAAGUUCUGGAAUUGAAAUUAAUUGUAGGUUUUGGAUUACUAGCAUGCAUGCGUACAUGUGUAUGUAUGUAUAUUGAAUUUAUAAUAAAUAAAAACGCUUUAAAUAAUCAAGAGCAAACAAUUAUUCUAUGAAACGUGGUUUGACUAAAUCUGAUGGGGACCAAUCUCUAGUAAAUUUUUUAAACUUCACUAUAUUUGAAAAGCUAGAAAAUUAAUAAUCAACCAAUAAAGCAAUAUUCUGAAAAAAAUAUUUGCAGUUUGGUGUAUGUGAAUGUAUGUAGUUCACUUGACGCCGCAGGACGGAGUUACCAAUUACAAAGAAGCGCGUCUUAAGAAAGUAGGUGAAUUUUACUACCGGUAUGUAUUUUAUAUUAUUAACAAAUUUUGAUUUUUCCUUAAUGUACCAUUAAACUUUUCAUGUUCAAUUUCAUAUCUUACAAUUAAUAUCUACUAAUUUAGCUGAAUAUAAGGCAAACGAAAAGAAAUUUUGUAAUUUUAAUAAUAUUUUCGGUAUUCUUAUGUUUCUUUUUUUUUAAUUGAACAACUUUACUGCUGCUUUAACGGCAGCUGAUAUUAGAUGUAUGCAGUUGAUACGCUUUAUUAUCAUCACUUUUUUUCUACUGCAAGUGAUUUUUUUUUUCAAUUACAUUUUAAAUUCAAAAAUGCUGCAUGUAAAUUUUGUAAUUUAACCUUAUUUAUUUCUAAAAAAAUUUAUUAAUUAAUUUAAAGAAAAAAUUUCUUUUAUUUUGCACUAAUUUCUAACCGUUAUAUUUAUCUACUUUAUUGAAUUUUUCGUUCUCUAUACGUUUUUUUUUUCUUUAAUUUUUUUUCUUUAAUUUUUUUUUGUGUAUGCAUUUACGUACGUAUAUAUGUAUGUAGCUAGUGUACGAGCUAAAUUUCAACUGUUAUUAUUUUACAACAAAUCACAGUCCGUAUGUGAGAAAGAACUUUAUAUUCAUUAUAUAUGUAUUUAAUAAUGAUGUUCAAUUUAUUAUUUUUAAUUUAUUAAUUUCUCAAAGUGUUUAUGCUGAUCCAUUACUAGUUAAUAAAUUUUUCUCGUUGAAUUUGCCUUCAUUUAAAGUGCAAAAAUGUGUAUGAGGAAAAUAAUUUGCUUCUGUUGUCAUUUGGAAAUUCGUAUAUUUUUCGCCAUUGCAUAACUAAGGUGUUCUUAGCAUAACUACUUAUUCGCACUUUUCAUUAAGAUUUUUCAAAUUUACAUUAUUCACUUGAAAGUUAUUUCGUAUAUACAUUUCUAAAUUGUCAACAAAGAAUUGCAAUAUUUUUAUGCUAAAUUUUUUUUUAAAUUUAUUUAUAAAAUUUUAUCAUAUUUUUUUCUAAGCCAAUUGAUGUUGUCAUUUUGUUUAGAUAUAAUCCUAUUUAUUUCUUAUUUAUUUGAGGUUAAAUUUUUGGAAAAGAGUUUUUGAAAUAAACUAACCGAAAAUAUAAUAAAUUACCUAUAAGCAAAAGUAUUAUUCAACAAAUUCGCUCUCAAAAAAAUUGUAUUGUCGAAAAAAUUAAAUAUAUGUAUGUAUAUAUAUUGUACGAUUUUAUAUACUUACAUACAUAACUAUUAGUCGAUUUGAGAGUUUCAUAUGCUAUAGAAAUUAUCUAAAACUGGGUCAAGGUCAUGCAAUUUACAUAUCUAUAUGAUUCACAUAUAAAAGUUUGAGAAUAUUGAAUUAAGGAUUGAAAAUUGUAUAAUGAAUACCGUUAAUAAUACCAAUAUUAAUAAUAAAACCGAAUGUUAGUAUGUAUUGCUAGCCACUAGUUGAGUUAAAAAUUAUUUCACCGCGAGGUGCCGGCUGUCUGUAUCAGCGCUUAUUUUCAAAAUUUGCUCAGGUAACCGUUCGGAUUCAAUAUUAUCACCAGCUAUUAUGAUUGCUGUAUGCCCUAAAUAUUCCACUGGGACGUAAACGAUCUUUGCUUGCAGUCAUUUGUACACGGAAAUCGUGAACGAUGACAACAUCCGAUGAGUCGGUUUUCAGAAUCUUCGAGAGAAAAACUUUGAUAACGAUUUACGGCGAAUUGGGUAAAUGUUGUAACGAUGAGCUGAAUGGGUUAGACGAUGAAAAUACUACAGUUUUGAAAGUAUUAAAUGUAGUACCCGCUGGUGGAAGCAGAAGAACAGGAAGAUCUCUACUCUGAAGGCAGGCUUAGGUGGAGGGCGAUAUGGUUUCACUUGGUGAAGCCACCAAACAGCGAAGAGAAGGAACGAAUGACGCGCUAUUGACUGGCUAUAAUACGAGACACCACGUAUAUUAAUGAAAAAGAAGAAGAUACUUGAUAAUCAGGAGAGCUGAAGAGUAAAUAUUAGGUGAAUUUCAUUAAAUGGCAAGACCCUGAAUUAAAGUGUUUUCUUAACACAAAGGAAAUUCUGGCAAAAAAGAAAAUCAAAAUCACGUUCCACUUCCCAGGGUAUUAAUCUAUUGAAGAACGUUCAAUUCUCACUUAUUGCCAUUUAUUUGCUUCGAGAACUUAACUUAAUUCAUUCUGAUAUCUGAAAUAAAUUUGAUUUGUUUAAAAAAAAAUUGUUAAAUUUUAAAUAAAACCUUAAAAUUUGUUUUUUUUUUUAU
rnacentral:lncRNA from 1 species